UAUAGCUAUAGCAACUUGCUGCAGCCUGCAGCCGUCUUUAUAUGACACAGCAUAGUUUGGCAUUUCUUGUAGGGUAUAUGGCAAGCAGAGCAGGAUUUGUUUGACUUUUUUCCCCUUCUUUGUUUGGUUUCCCACUCAGUGUACUGUAUUUGGAUUGCAGCCUCGAUUAAUUCCGAUUCAUGGUGCAUAAGGCCUAUUAAAGGAAGAAGCCUCCGGACUAGAAUUUUAUUCAUACCCGAGUCCUCUAACCAAGGGUGGAGAAAUCUUAUUUAUCCCACCACAACCUCAAUUGUAUCAUUAGUAUUUUUAUAUCACAAAGGACACAGUUGCAAGACUACCAGUGCCGGCAUGAUUUAGGUUAUAAAUUCAGAGAUCUUUUAAAAAAAAGUUGAUGUCAAAGCCACCCAACCCCAUGCGCUGUUAAACUUGUUAAAGAUUUUGUGAUUUCCCAUUGCCAUUCUUAAUUUCUCGCACUAAACAGAAGGGGCGAGUAAGCCAGUAAAUAUGCUUUUACUAUUUCUGAGAGUAGAUGAAAUAGAUCUAAAUUGAUCAAUAUCUAGCAUUCUUGUUUUAGCUCAAGAAGGAAAAAGAAAAACCUGGCAGCUAUAGCUAUGGGCAGAAGUUGCAAUCUUCUCUUUGCUCUUCCACUGGAUUGGAAUCACUUGCAGCUCUCGCUCCCAUAGAGUCACAGCAUCCCAUUUCUUGGUUCAUAUUUACCAUCCCAUUUCUUGGUUCAUAUUUACCAGGGUGUCUUCUCCGCUUUUUAUUUUUUUAUAGAAUUUUCCUGUCAACUUUGUAUUGGGGAAAAUAAAUAUUACACGUGGAUUUAUAUAUGUAGCUGGUGUGAUAAGACACGUGGAUCACUAAGAAAGCGACAACUGGGGAGAUGCAUUAAAAGAGGCACGAGUCAUAAUAGGUACGAGUAAAUCACCCCCGAGAUAAAAGGGGUAUGGUCGCUCGAAUGUGAAUUGCUAUGUGAAGAGAUACCGGCGUACUGAAUCAAGACUGAAAAGGAGGAAGAUUCAUGGAUCGUCAAUUAACGCGCAUGAAUGAUCAUAGACGUUGCAGAAUCUUCCUGAACAGUUACAAUUGCCAAUUAUAACGUCUCAUUAAUGUCAUUAAUGUACGUAAUGAUUUAGUCAUAAAAGGGAAGAAAUGUUGUACUUAUAGAUUCCUAUAUAAGGGAAGGGAAUUUCACUUGUAAAGAAA